rnacentral:tRNA from 1 species
GGUUCGAUGGUGUAGUUGGUUAUCACGUUCGCCUCACAAAUUUGCUGUGCGCGAAAGGUCGGGAUUUCGAGCAUCCCUCGAAUCA